UACGGGGGGGGGCAAGCGUUGUUCGGAAUUACUGGGCGUAAAGGGCUCGUAGGCGGCCAACUAAGUCAGACGUGAAAUCCCUCGGCUUAACCGGGGAACUGCGUCUGAUACUGGAUGGCUUGAGUUUGGGAGAGGGAUGCGGAAUUCCAGGUGUAGCGGUGAAAUGCGUAGAUAUCUGGAGGAACACCGAUGGCGAAGGCAGGUCACUGGGCCGCAACUGACGCUGAGGAGCGAAAGCAUGGGGAGCGAAACAGG
rnacentral:rRNA from 1 species